GCCCUGAUGGUCUAGAGGUAUGAUUCUCCCUUCGGGCUCAAGCCCGGAUACCUUAGGUAUUUGAAAUUGGGAGAGGUCCCCGGUUCGACUCCGGGUUAGGGCC